UAUUUGAUCAUAUUAUUAUCAUUUGUUCCAAACAUCAUGUCCAAAUGUGCAAAUAAAAAUUUCUGCGACAAAACGCCGGGAAUCAGCUAGUUAUAUAUAGUAAGCGUAUAAGAUCCUUGCAUAAUAGAGCAUCUCUCUAAUCAAGUCCUACUCAUAGAGCAUAAUCUCAGGAAGCGAAGUGGGGUUUCCGAAUAUUCUUUUCUCAUAGAGUCCAUAUCUCUAUGUACCUAGACUCUUUCUUAUUCACUGGAGUAGGUCUCAUCGGUGGCUUCUUGGUGCUCUAGGUCUCGUUGGUGGCUUCUUGGUGCUCCUCCAAACUAAAAAUGCAUGAUCGAGGAGUCGAUGGAUCGCGGUUCAUAUAUCCGAGGGGCCCAAAAUCUGGUUGGUGGCAUUUCCGAUCAAGGAUAAAGAUCAGCCUUAGAUGGCCGGAGACGAGCGUCUCGGAACGAGACUAGCUACCCGCCCGUCCGAACUUGCAGCAAAGAUCAAAAUGGCGGCCUCCAAACGAGUCAACGACCAAACCCACGGCCUUCGCAGUUUCUUCGUGGCGCUAUGCUUAACCUCAAUCCUCCCGGAGUCCUGGUCACCUGCGUCCGUACGUGGCCAGACGCCGUCGAUCCACGUACGGAAAACCACGCCCGACCAACGCACUGGCUCACCUAUAGGUGUGCGCGGACGUGCGGGUGCUGCUCAAGCUCAAGAUCAACGUGCCGGCAUACCAUCAAUCUGCUCCUCGACGCCCUGCUCCUCCUCGACUAUUGCGGCCACAAGGCCCAGAACGCAUCUCCCAAGUCCCCAGGUUGGGACUGGGGAGAGGAGGCAGGCAGCACGAACGGGAGGAGAAGCGUCCACCGAUGGUCCUGACUAUUUUUAGAACGACCGAGAGUCCUGACUGCCCAGUGCCCCGCAGAAGCGCGUUAGUAUUUCGCAGGUGAUGCUGGGCCGCGGCUUUUGGCCCGCCAGUUCACCCGAGGCUUCGGAUUUUUCCGUCAGAGUAGCAGCCCAAGGACGGUACAUCGGAUGGACGGCAGUGAUUGAAUUGAUACAGAUCGGACGGCUGACGUAGGUGAUGGCGUGAGAGGGCAUCCAGGGUGCCCAGUUUUACGGUCCUAAAUGUGAAAUCUGAAGAAGUUCUACUACCUCCGGUCGGAAUUACUUGUCGAAAUAUUACAUAUAUCUAGACACCUUUUAAACAUA